rnacentral:lncRNA from 1 species
CAAGCAAUCUCAUUAAAGUAAACCAACAAUAUUAACCAGCGGAAGACUUAACCAAAAAUCCAAUAAAACAAUUCCAUUAAACCAACAAGUUCAACCAAACAUUAUUCCAAAACAUGAUCAUCCUAACAUGUUUCUAAAUUCCAUUCUAACACCCUAACAAAUCCAACAAUAAUCUAAAACACCUAUGAGCACCUAGAUCAUCCUCUUCUCCUCGCCAUGAUUCCACGGAUCACACUUUGCUUUUACCUGCAACAAAGAAAGAGAUGCAUAAGUAUUUCAUAAAUACUUAGUGAGGGCGAUCCUCCCAUCUACGAGCUAUACACUCAAGCAAUGAGAUAACACCCACAUAUAUAACAAAAACAAACCAUCUAGCAAGCUAAACAUCCAAUAACACAUCCAAUUCACCUACAAAUCAUCACAAAACAUGUCACUCGAUCCCAAUCGCUUAGAUAAGCUCAUGGUCACGCACUCACCUUAACAAGGUUAUUUGAAUUACAAAAAAAACCAGGAAAGACUCUCCUCGUGACUGCAACAGCCAAA